GGCCGAGUUCGAGGCGGCAAAGGAAUUGUCUGCCAGGCUUCUGGAGGCACCUGGGCCGUGUGGGUUCACAGCGGUCAUCCAGGGAAUGGAUGGACAUGGUGAGUUUCUGAAGCACGGGCAUCACCCUUAGGGUAGGGGGAGGGCUCCAACACCAAGGCCCCCAGCACACAUUUCACAAGGAAAAAUGACCGUGUCGUGCCUGUGUUGGUAGGUGAUCAACUGUGCUUAACCGAGAAGGGAAUUUUCUCUAGUUAGAGGCCUCACAUUAAGCAUGCAUUGGCUUCAUCUGGAGUGUGCAGAACAGAAUCA
rnacentral:lncRNA from 1 species